AGCGUACACGGUGGAUGCCCUGGCAGUCAGAGGCGAUGAAGGACGUGCUAAUCUGCGAAAAGCGUCGGUAAGGUGAUAUGAACCGUUAUAACCGGCGAUGUCCGAAUGGGGAAACCCAGUGCAAUUCGUUGCACUAUCGUUAACUGAAUACAUAGGUUAACGAGGCGAACCGGGGGAACUGAAACAUCUAAGUACCCCGAGGAAAAGAAAUCAACCGAGAUUCCCCCAGUAGCGGCGAGCGAACGGGGAGCAGCCCAGAGUCUGAAUCAGCUUGUGUGUUAGUGGAACGGUCUGGAAAGUCCGACGGUACAGGGUGAUAGUCCCGUACACCAAAAUGCACAGGUUGUGAACUCGAAGAGUAGGGCGGGACACGUGGUAUCCUGUCUGAAUAUGGGGGGACCAUCCUCCAAGGCUAAAUACUCCUGACUGACCGAUAGUGAACCAGUACCGUGAGGGAAAGGCGAAAAGAACCCCGGCGAGGGGAGUGAAAAAGAACCUGAAACCGUGUACGUACAAGCAGUGGGAGCACCUUCGGGUGUGACUGCGUACCUUUUGUAUAAUGGGUCAGCGACUUAUAUUCUGUAGCAAGGUUAACCGUAUAGGGGAGCCGCAGGGAAACCGAGUCUUAACUGGGCGUUAAGUUGCAGGGUAUAGACCCGAAACCCGGUGAUCUAGCCAUGGGCAGGUUGAAGGUUGGGUAACACUAACUGGAGGACCGAACCGACUAAUGUUGAAAAAUUAGCGGAUGACUUGUGGCUGGGGGUGAAAGGCCAAUCAAACCGGGAGAUAGCUGGUUCUCCCCGAAAGCUAUUUAGGUAGCGCCUCGUGAAUUCAUCUUCGGGGGUAGAGCACUGUUUCGGCUAGGGGGUCAUCCCGACUUACCAACCCGAUGCAAACUACGAAUACCGAAGAAUGUUAUCACGGGAGACACACGGCGGGUGCUAACGUCCGUCGUGAAGAGGGAAACAACCCAGACCGCCAGCUAAGGUCCCAAAGUCAUGGUUAAGUGGGAAACGAUGUGGGAAGGCACAGACAGCCAGGAUGUUGGCUUAGAAGCAGCCAUCAUUUAAAGAAAGCGUAAUAGCUCACUGGUCGAGUCGGCCUGCGCGGAAGAUGUAACGGGGCUAAACCAUGCACCGAAGCUGCGGCAGCGACACUAUGUGUUGUUGGGUAGGGGAGCGUUCUGUAAGCCUGCGAAGGUGUGCUGUGAGGCAUGCUGGAGGUAUCAGAAGUGCGAAUGCUGACAUAAGUAACGAUAAAGCGGGUGAAAAGCCCGCUCGCCGGAAGACCAAGGGUUCCUGUCCAACGUUAAUCGGGGCAGGGUGAGUCGACCCCUAAGGCGAGGCCGAAAGGCGUAGUCGAUGGGAAACAGGUUAAUAUUCCUGUACUUGGUGUUACUGCGAAGGGGGGACGGAGAAGGCUAUGUUAGCCGGGCGACGGUUGUCCCGGUUUAAGCAUGUAGGCUGGUUAUCCAGGCAAAUCCGGAUAAUCAAGGCUGAGGUGUGAUGACGAGGCACUACGGUGCUGAAGUAACAAAUGCCCUGCUUCCAGGAAAAGCCUCUAAGCAUCAGGUAACAUCAAAUCGUACCCCAAACCGACACAGGUGGUCAGGUAGAGAAUACCAAGGCGCUUGAGAGAACUCGGGUGAAGGAACUAGGCAAAAUGGUGCCGUAACUUCGGGAGAAGGCACGCUGGUGUGUAGGUGAAGUCCCUGCGGAUGGAGCUGAGACCAGUCGAAGAUACCAGCUGGCUGCAACUGUUUAUUAAAAACACAGCACUGUGCAAACACGAAAGUGGACGUAUACGGUGUGACGCCUGCCCGGUGCCGGAAGGUUAAUUGAUGGGGUUAUCCGUAAGGAGAAGCUCUUGAUCGAAGCCCCGGUAAACGGCGGCCGUAACUAUAACGGUCCUAAGGUAGCGAAAUUCCUUGUCGGGUAAGUUCCGACCUGCACGAAUGGCGUAAUGAUGGCCAGGCUGUCUCCACCCGAGACUCAGUGAAAUUGAACUCGCUGUGAAGAUGCAGUGUACCCGCGGCAAGACGGAAAGACCCCGUGAACCUUUACUAUAGCUUGACACUGAACAUUGAGCCUUGAUGUGUAGGAUAGGUGGGAGGCUUUGAAGCGUGGACGCCAGUCUGCGUGGAGCCAACCUUGAAAUACCACCCUUUAAUGUUUGAUGUUCUAACGUUGGCCCCUUAUCGGGGUUGCGGACAGUGUCUGGUGGGUAGUUUGACUGGGGCGGUCUCCUCCCAAAGCGUAACGGAGGAGCACGAAGGUUAGCUAAUCCUGGUCGGACAUCAGGAGGUUAGUGCAAUGGCAUAAGCUAGCUUGACUGCGAGCGUGACGGCGCGAGCAGGUGCGAAAGCAGGUCAUAGUGAUCCGGUGGUUCUGAAUGGAAGGGCCAUCGCUCAACGGAUAAAAGGUACUCCGGGGAUAACAGGCUGAUACCGCCCAAGAGUUCAUAUCGACGGCGGUGUUUGGCACCUCGAUGUCGGCUCAUCACAUCCUGGGGCUGAAGUAGGUCCCAAGGGUAUGGCUGUUCGCCAUUUAAAGUGGUACGCGAGCUGGGUUUAGAACGUCGUGAGACAGUUCGGUCCCUAUCUGCCGUGGGCGCUGGAGAAUUGAGGGGGGCUGCUCCUAGUACGAGAGGACCGGAGUGGACGCAUCACUGGUGUUCGGGUUGUCAUGCCAAUGGCACUGCCCGGUAGCUAAAUGCGGAAGAGAUAAGUGCUGAAAGCAUCUAAGCACGAAACUUGCCCCGAGAUGAGUUCU
rnacentral:rRNA from 1 species